CGGGUGAGUAACACGUGGGUGACCUGCCCUUAGCUCUGGGAUAAGCCUGGGAAACUGGGUCUAAUACCGGAUAUGACUCCAUGACGCAUGUUGUGGGGUGGAAAGCCUUGUGCGGCUAGGGAUGGGCCCGCGGCUUAUCAGCUUGUUGGUGGGGUGAUGGCCUACCAAGGCGACGACGGGUAGCCGGCCUGAGAGGGCGACCGGCCACACUGGGACUGAGACACGGCCCAG
rnacentral:rRNA from 1 species